CCACUCAAGGUCAUCUGAAGGACCUUGUCUAGGAGCAAGAAAGACUUGUCUACAUCGGACUUUUGGUCUUAAGAGUUGGACCCAUGAGUUCCAAUCCUGCGUGGAACUCGGGUGCUGGAUGAGUUUUGGGGUGUUCUUUUUACCAGCAGGUCAGACACUUCAGGGGUUUGCUGGAAGGGAGGGAAGGAUGGAAAGAAUAUCUUCUUGGGGUUCACCACAGUUCCAAGAGGGCAGGAUUGGUCCUCGCCACCCCUGGCUGAUUCUGGCUUCUUCCGCUCAGGGUUUCUGCUUUCGUCAACCGAGGCAGGCAAAAAAAAAAUGUCCAAGCCGCUUUUCGGUGGGUUCGAAAGGGCAGUUCUUGAUAGGGAAAAGUUGAGAGUUUCUACUUGGGGAAAUCUCAGGCUAUCUAUGACUCAUUCUCCUGGGUUUUGGUUUGUAUUUUCC